UACGGAGGGGGCUAGCGUUGUUCGGAAUUACUGGGCGUAAAGCGCACGUAGGCGGCUUUGUAAGUUAGAGGUGAAAGCCCAGAGCUCAACUCUGGAACUGCCUUUAAGACUGCAUCGCUUGAAUCAUGGAGAGGUUAGUGGAAUUCCGGAGUGUAGAGGUGAAAUUCGUAGAUAUUCGGAAGAACACCAGUGGCGAAGGCGACUAACUGGACAUGUAUUGACGCUGAGG
rnacentral:rRNA from 1 species